ACCUGGGAUAACACCUUCACCGGGUAAAUUCGCCCCCACUGCUUUUUCUCAACAACCGCCGCACGCAAUCUCCCCUCGUCCUCCUCGCUCUCGCCGCACCGCUCCACUCAUCUGCUCUCCCCCAUUUCUGUGUGAGAACGGCGGCUGAUUGAUUUGCGGUAGCGCCGGCGGCCUCAAGUAGGGCUAUGAGGAGGAAGGAAGACGAUUAGCACGCGGGAAGCAAGAAUAGAUCGGGGCCAGGGCGUGAGGACCACACCGUCAUCACGGCGAGCAAGCCGGCAACCCGUUCGUGUUUCUGAAGCGGUUCGGCAUCAUGGUGGCGCAGACGAAGGCCUUCUUCGAUUCCAGGCCGGCCGCAGCCACGACGUCGACGACAUCCAGAUCAAGCCCGUCAGCUCCGGCAUUUGGAUCGACCGCUGCUCCGGUGCUCCGCCAGAGCACCGACAUCACCGUAUCCAAGUUAUGGCUCAUGUUGCUGUGUAUUUGGCUGCUGGUCAUCGCCACUACCUCAGCAAAGUCACUGGCGACCAAGUGGUUCACACUAUCUCCAAAGCUUUUGAAGCAGCGUACAUGUUACAUGAAUCUGGGGCAAAAUGGUAGAUGGCGUCAUGAGGUUGUAUGCCUGCAGCGCAUGUGUCAGUUAGUGAUGGUUAAUCAAGAUUGAGCAAAGGCUAGGUUCAGGUGUCGCUGUCGUGACCUGCUUGGCAUUACUCUGGUAUAAGUUACGCAGUGGUAACCUUCCUUCUUUUGAUGGUUGUCGACACACAUCUUCAGUCACACAUACACCAUACGAGGUUUUAAAGGAGUUCUUGAUUUUCAGUUUUGGCCCUGAACUUUAGAAUCUCCAUGUCUGAAGUUAGUCCUCAUCCAACUGAGCAAUAUGCAGAGCCUCUGGUACGUGCAGCCGCGCUUCGUCGCCGCCAACGGCCUCGCCGGAAACUGGGUCGUAUCCACAUCCGGACUCAAUCUCUGCCUCGCCCUCCUUGCCGCAAUGUAGCAAAAGUUCAUUGCAAAAUGGGCCACUCCCUCUUGAUGCCCCUCAUGGUGCCAGGCCCCUUCUAAUGUUGAAGUGCUUCUCAGGGACUUGCCAAUCCAAAUUACACCCAUACUAAAAUAGAGUGUUUCCAGAGAGUAGAAACAUCGCAUGCAGAAAUCUUCAAAAAAGACGUGAUUGAAGUUGUAACCGAUGAAAUGCCUGCUGGUGAAGCUAUCAUGGAUCCAACUCACCACCUAAUUGGUGACAAACGUAGGUCCGAUUAAGUAAUCAGCAUGCAUGCAUGAGCUAUUUCAGAGAUACAGUCUGAUAGUAGUAACUUAAUUUGCUUAGAUGCUCACGGAACUGCAGAUAACGGCUCAUUUUUCAGCCCAAUUGUGACAAAUAUCAUAACAUGCCAAAUUAUUUUCCUUUUAGAUUUAUUAUUCCACAGUUUCACACUAUCUAUCAUCAAUAAGUUAAUCAAGAUAAAUUUCACAUACAUGUACUGAACAAACAAAUCUCCGACGACAACCAAUCCUGUGAAACCUGCUGCCUCUAUCUUUUGUGCCGUCUAAGUCUUUCUUGUGUAUUUGAUCACCAAGUUUUUUCCCUAUACCAUGUAUCAUCCGAAGGGGCGACAGAACAAAGUCUCGGAUUCCUCGAGCAACAGAUGUAGUGUUAUCAGUCUCUGAAAAUGUGAAUCCGACUACUCCUAGGCAACAACAGAGGGGUGAUUGGGAUACUGAAAGCCACUGUAUGGAGGCUUAGUGGAGUCAGUCACCAGCCUCUUCGUUGUUUCAACAGCAGCAUCAAGCGGCGCCAAAAACAUGUCAGAUUCUGUCAAAAAAAAAACAUGUCAGUUACUUUCAUCUUGGGCAUAGCCAACCUUAUUGGUGGACUUCCUCACGUUUUUCACAAUAUCACUGAUCUGAGAGACAGCCGAGUCAUGAACGAGGACAAAUCGGAAGGUCGGCCACUACUGACUCAAGCUUGGAUGUGGUCGAAAGCCCGGCUCCACAUGGUUCUACCACUGCUCUCACACAUGGUGUUCGGGCUACUUCCACCAGUGCUCUGCGGGUUGUCGUUCCGUGAGAGUAACGACAGGGAGAACAAGAUGAUGGACGUCGCCAGUGCUUCGCUUGCCUGCAUCGCUCUGCUAGCGCUCGGGAAGGUUAUGGCCACAGAAGAGCCAUGACAUACUUCAAGACUCUCAUUUACUACCUUACCAUCGUUGUGAGCUUCUUCGGGAUGUCAUACAUCACCGGUGUACUGAUCACGAGGCUUCUAUAACACUUGACACCAUUGAUCAAGGUGGUGCAUCGGUUCCUCAUGCUUCUCCAGGCAUGUUGUUCUCUCAUUUAGUUGGUGCACAUACGUCUGCCUAGGCCUCAUUCUGAAGUCUCAAGUUCCUCGGAGCACUGAUGGUAUAAAAAGAGAAGACAUGGGUGAGUUGAAGAGAAAGUGCAUGAAGAGACAUCUAAAUAUUUUUGAGUUGCCACCUGCUAUUUUGUUGUAAUUCUUGUGUACAUUUUAAGAUGCUAACAUUUCAUGUCAAAAUGUGCGAUCUUGGUUACUUGAGUUCGUCUGUAUCGUGGAAUGUUACUAUCAGGUACUCCCUCUGUCUAGAAAUACUCGUCGAAGAAAUGCAUAAAAAUGAAUGUAUCUAGAACUAAAAUACGUCUAGAUACAUCCAUUCCUCCUACAAGUAUUUCAGGACGGAGGGAGUAUUUUAUUUGAGCAGAAAAACAACAAGAUCAGUCUUUCCUUCAUUUUCUGUCUCCUUUUCGUUGGUGGAGAGGGACAUGCGCUGGUUAUUUUGCGUAGGAUUAUCCUAUCUUUUCAGUCCUGUAAUGUCGGUGUUUACGUGGCUUGUAGCUGAAUCCUUAUUUUAUUAAUGAGACACGUCAAGAC
rnacentral:rRNA from 1 species